ACGUAGGUGGCAAGCGUUGUCCGGAAUUAUUGGGCGUAAAGCGCGCGCAGGCGGUCCUUUAAGUCUGAUGUGAAAGCCCUGGGCUCAACCCAGGAAGUGCAUUCGAAACUGCAGAGCUGGAGUCCUGGAGAGGAAGGCGGAAUUCUCGGUGUAGAGGUGAAAUUCGUAGAUAUCGAGAGGAACACCGGUGGCGAAGGCGGCCUUCUGGACAGUGACUGACGCUGAGACGCGAAAGCGUGGGGAGCAAACAGGA
rnacentral:rRNA from 1 species